AUUUUGUCCCAAAAGAAAAAAAAAACCCUAGCCAGCCCCCAAUUUGCUCCCUGAAAAUCGUGUGCGGUGCGUUCUCCUCCGUCGGUCCAUCGUCUUCAUCCAUAGCUGUUGAUCCGUCAUCUUCAUCCAUAGCUUCUGUCGGUCUGUCGGUCUCUGAGGAUCUGCACUGAUUGAUCCGUCGAAGCCCUGUCCGCCACUCGACGCGCCUCGCCUUAUCUCGCCGCACCUUGCCUCACCUUGCUGCCUGCACACUCGAUCUGCCAGAACAGAUUGCGAUUCUUGGAGUUGGAAGCCCGGCUCCGGGAGUGGUGUCCGAGGGUGCAAAUACCAUGGAUGUAGGUAGGGCUGUGUUGGUUUAGAUAGAGCCCAGGACUAGGUUGGAUGCAGGGACUUGGGAGACUAUAGGGGUUGGUCUCAGUGCAAUUCGGCUGCAGUGGCUUGUCCAGAUUGACUUGUUGUUGCAGUUGAAGGGAAUUUUAGAUUCGGAUUUAGUGCCAUUGAAGUUGAGGCCUUCAACUAUGGCAAACUCCUUCAAUAAAUGACCUACAAGCUAACAUUAUAUGCAAACAUACUUGUCUUAUCACAAGCAUCUUGGAUGGCUAGGUAUUGGAUGCUUUGCUUAGUGGAGGAAAAUAUUUUGUUGUGGCAAAGACGGUGUGAUGAUGCGUUGUAUUCCCUGCUCACUUUUGGUGUUCGACGGCCUGUGCGUCACUUGGCAUUAGUUGCAAUGGCAAAGAUCAUAUUUAAGGGAGAUGGAAUAUCGGUUUAUGCUAGAGCAAGCAGCCUUUAGGGAUUUCUUUCUGAUGGUUCUUGUUACUAUAAGGAAAAUUCUUUUCUUCAAUAUACUUGUUUUUGAGUUUUUGUGAGCUAAAUUGGUUCUCUUGUUUGAGGAACUAUAUAGAACUCAAUUUUUGUAAACAAUUUUAGUUAUUAUUCGAUCAAUGAUUCUUGUUACCAUAUGCCAUAUGUAAGUUCUUUCAUUAUGUUGGU